rnacentral:rRNA from 1 species
AUUGAACGCUGGCGGCAAGCCUAACACAUGCAAGUCGAACGAGUGGCGGACGGGUGAGUAAUGUCUGGGAACCUGCCUGAUGGAGGGGGCUAACUACUGGAAACGGUAGCUAAUACCGCAUACCAUCGGAUGUGCCCAGAUGGGAUUAGCUAGUCGGUGGGGGCAAGGCUCACCUAGGCGACGAUCCCUAGCUGGUCUGAGAGGAUGACAGGCAACACUGGAACUGAGACACGGUCCAGACUCCUACGGGAGGCAGCAGUGGGGAAUAUUGCACAAUGGGCGAAAGCCUGAUGCAGCAAUGCCGCGUGUAUGAAGAAGGCCUUCGGGUUGUAAAGUACUUUCAGCGGGGAGGCGUUACCCGCAGAAGAAGCAACGGCUAACUCCGUGCCAGCAGCCGCGGUAAUAC